AACGAACGCUGGCGGCAGGCUUAACACAUGCAAGUCGAACGCAUCCUUCGGGAUGAGUGGCAGACGGGUGAGUAACACGUGGGAACCUACCCGAAGGUACGGAAUAACACAGGGAAACUUGUGCUAAUACCGUAUGUGCCCUUCGGGGGAAAGAUUUAUCGCCUUUGGAUGGGCCCGCGUCGGAUUAGCUAGUUGGUGGGGUAAUGGCCUACCAAGGCGACGAUCCGUAGCUGGUCUGAGAGGAUGAUCAGCCACACUGGGACUGAGACACGGCCCAGACUCCUACGGGAGGCAGCAGUGGGGAAUAUUGGACAAUGGGCGCGAGCCUGAUCCAGCCAUGCCGCGUGAGUGAUGAAGGCCUUAGGGUUGUAAAGCUCUUUCAGCUGGGAAGAUAAUGACGGUACCAGCAGAAGAAGCCCCGGCUAACUUCGUGCCAGCAGCCGCGGUAAUACGAAGGGGCUAGCGUUGUUCGGAAUCACUGGGCGUAAAGCGCACGUA
rnacentral:rRNA from 1 species